AAUUCGCCCUUAGAGUUUGAUCCUGGCUCAGGAUGAACGCUGGCGGCGUGCUUAACACAUGCAAGUCGAACGAGAACCAAUGGAAUGAGGAUUCAUCCAAAGGAAGUUGGGGAAAGUGGCGGACGGGUGAGUAACGCGUGAGCAAUCUGCCUUGGAGUGGGGAAUAACGGUUGGAAACAGCCGCUAAUACCGCAUGAUACAGCUAUCCCGCAUGGGGUUGGCUGUCAAAGAUUUAUCGCUCUGAGAUGAGCUCGCGUCUGAUUAGCUUGUUGGCGGGGUAACGGCCCACCAAGGCGACGAUCAGUAGCCGGACUGAGAGGUUGGCCGGCCACAUUGGGACUGAGACACGGUCCAGACUCCUACGGGAGGCAGCAGUGGGGAAUAUUGGGCAAUGGGCGCAAGCCUGACCCAGCAACGCCGCGUGAAGGAAGAAGGCUUUCGGGUUGUAAACUUCUUUUCUCAGGGACGAAGAAAGUGACGGUACCUGAGGAAUAAGCCACGGCUAACUACGUGCCAGCAGCCGCGGUAAUACGUAGGUGGCAAGCGUUAUCCGGAUUUAUUGGGUGUAAAGGGCGUGUAGGCGGGAGCGCAAGUCAGAUGUGAAAACUCAGGGCUCAACCCUGAGCCUGCAUUUGAAACUGUGUUUCUUGAGUGCUGGAGAGGCAAUCGGAAUUCCGUGUGUAGCGGUGAAAUGCGUAGAUAUACAGAGGAACACCAGUGGCGAAGGCGGAUUGCUGGACA
rnacentral:rRNA from 1 species